rnacentral:rRNA from 1 species
GAUGAACGCUGGCGGCGUGCCUAAUACAUGCAAGUCGAGCGAACAGACGAGGAGCUUGCUCCUCUGACGUUAGCGGCGGACGGGAGAGUAACACGUGGAUAACCUACCUAUAAUACUGGGAUAACUUCGGGAAACCGGCGCUAAUACCGGAUAAUAUAUUGAACCGCAUGGGUCAAUAGUGAAAGUCGGUUUUGCUGGCUCUUAUCGCUGGAUCCGCGCCGCAUGAGCUAGUUGGUAAGGUAACGGGCUACCAAGGCAACUAUGCGUAGACGACGUGAGUGGGUGAUAGGCCACAUUGGAACUGAGACAGGCUCCAGACUCCUAAGGUACGGACCAGUAGGCUAUCGUCCGCAGUGGGCGAGAGCCUGGCGGAGUAGCGCGGCGCGAGUGAUGAAGAUCCUCGGAGCGUAAUACUGUGUUACGAGGGAAGAACAAAUGUGUAAGUAACUAUGCACGUCGUGACGGUACCUAAUCAGAAAGCCCCGGCUAACUACGUG